rnacentral:tRNA from 1 species
GGCAUGGUGGCUGAAUGUUCAAGUGGUGGGUUGUAGCCCCAAGGAUAGAGGUUUAAUUCCUCUUCAUGUCA